GGCGUCGUAGCUCAACGGUAGAGCGCCGUAAACCUCUGGUUCAACAACUUCGCCGGUCAUUGCCAAACCAUCCCGACUGAAAGCUGGAGUCCAUCACUUCCGUGAUCGCAAGAUCCUGUGGGUUCGAAUCCCACCGAUGCCG
rnacentral:tRNA from 1 species